rnacentral:lncRNA from 1 species
AAAGGGCUUUGAAGCUAGAAAUUUUCAGCAACAUAUUUCCCUUGCUUGUAAGUGAUUUUAAUGUCUUUGCUUGAUGAUUUUUACAUUUUUGGAACCCCUAAAGCAUGAGCUUUCAUAAGAGGGGACUAUUUUGCAAAAUAAUGAAGAGUCUAGGGUUUUUCCAUGAGAGUAAAUGUGUUGUUUGCUGUGUUUCUAUGGAAGAUUAUGAGUCCUAGUUGUCUAAUAAACAACUUUUGUGAAAGAAAUUGCAUGAAAACACCUUAAAAAGGGCUAGAUUGCUAAUUUGUAAAAUGAGUUGUAAAUGUGUGAAAUAGUUGAAAUUAUGAGCUGCUAUAGUUAUGAAAAUGGUUCAUCUAGACUCAAGGAGUAAAGAAAUGUGAUAAAAAUUAUUUUACGAGCCUAGGGGUAAUUUGGUAAUUUUGGCAAAAUAUAGGGGCAAAAUUGUAAAAAAUUACCCAAGUGUGUCAAUGGACUAAUUUGAUCAGUACAUUGUUUUAAUAAGUUGAAUGUGCUAUUUUAGAUGAUGAAAAUCAAGAUUUGGACCUAGAACAGAAGAAAUCGAUUAAGGGAUAAUUAUGUCUUUUUUUUUCACCUUUGUGGUAUCGAGGUAAGUUCAUGUGUAAAUAAUGUAACAUAAUUGUUAUUUUUAAGUUAUUGAUGUUAAAUAUAUGAUAUGCUGAUUUUUAUCAUGAAAUAUAUGCUUUGUGGUUAUUUUUGAAUAAAAUGCAAUUUAUGUGUAUUAUCUGUUAAAUAUAAAGUGCUACCGAGUAUUGGUUUCGGUAUUUUACGGAAGAUGGCAAGGAUAUGUGUUCGAGGAAAAUCCCGUUUGAACCUUAGGAAUAGAUUAAGAUACAAGUGACAUGUCACUACGAUGGUUGAGCAUCCGAACUCGUUGAGUUGAGUUUGAGUUCACUUAAGUGGAUGCGAAUGUUCGAACUCGUUGAGUUGAGUCCGAGUUCGUGAGAUGUAACUAGGCAUCCGAGCUCGUUGAGUUGAGUCCGAGUUCACUUAUGGAUGCGAACGCCCGAGCUCGUUGAGCUGAGUCCGAGUUCACUUAUGGGUGGGUUACAUGGUAGCUUGGCUACAUAUGUGGCACUUAUGUGCAAACUUUCCAUAUAUCCGAAUUAUAUUCCGAUGUGUUCAACGGGUAGAAUUCUACUCAAGAUGAAAGGGACGUAUUGGUAAAUGUUAUGAAAUGGAUACUUUGAACUGGUAUGUACUUAACCCUCAGGUUGAAAACUUGACAUAACAACAAUAUGGUAAGAUGGUAAAUGAAAAUGUGAUAUGAAUGUCUCGGUGAUGAUUAUACAAACGAUGUUGUAUUAAUUUUGUGAACAAUGAUCAUGAAUGAGUAAUUUAGCCUUGACAGAUUUGAGUUACUGCAGUAGUGUAACUUUGAAAAUACACUAAAAAUAGUGGAAAAUGAGUUAGAGGCAGAAUAAAAUAUGGGAUUAAAUCUUAAUGAGUCUAUUUUCACAUGAAAGAAACAGGGGAAGAAAAAGAAUUCCAUAUUAUGUGAUAUUUGAAUUCUUGUGAAACAGGGUCUGAAUGAAUUCGAGAUCCCCUGUUCUGACUUUAGAAAUUCACCAAAAAUUGUAAAAAAUUAUUAAGAGUCAUACCUUACAUGCAUGGAUUCCUUAUUGAGUCUAUUUUUAGGGGAAAUAAACGGCAUGGUCGUUGGAACGUUUUACAGGGAGAAAUUCGGUUUGUAGUGCACAGGGGUCAGAGUGGAAAUACCCUGAAAUAGGGGAGACUUUAACUAAUAAACUGUACUAAUUGGCCUAACCAAAAAUUCUAUAAAAAAAUUAGUAAGUAGACAUAUUAGUCUAGUUUAAAUAGAAAUAGACGAGAACAUUAUUCGAGUCUUGUACUAUGAGAUAAUCAAACUUUAGUACAGAAGGGUCGAAAUUGUCAGACAGUGAAUCUAGGGUAAAUUUGAGGAAUAAAUUGUACUAUUUGGCUUAACUAAAAAUUCUUGAAAUUUUAUGGAAGAAAGGAAAAUAAGUCUAGUUUUAGGUAAAAUUAACAGAACUUGAUUCGGAUUUUCGUAGCUCCAGAUAUAAAUAAUUUAGUGACCGUUGCUUAGAAAGACAGCUUGUAGUGAACUUGAGAAUAUGUUGUAAACAUUGAUAAAACAAGUUAAUGAGUUGCUUAUUGUUUUCAUAUGAACUUACUAUGCGAAAGCUUACCCCCCUCUUCUUUCCCAUGUUUUCUAGAGUUUCCAGGUUAGCUCAGGUUGGAGGCCGUCAGAGAUAUUAUCACACUGUCGAGUUAACGCUAUCGGCGUAAGUAAACUCAAGUGAUUCUAGUCUAUGGCGUGUAUAGGGUUUUAAUGUGAGUAUGUAAUAUUAUGAUUUAGCCAAAGGCAUUGGCUUGUUAUUAAGGUAGUAUUAGUCAUGUAAAUUGGCCUAUGUCGGCUAAUAUCAUUAUGGGCCCAUAUGAUUAUUCUUAUGCAUGUAUGUUAUUAUCUCUUGUGAUGUGGCUUACAACAUGUAUGCCUAGAGAUUGAAUUGAGAUUCAUUGACGAGCUAAUAACUAAUGCAGGAUUAAGUGAUUGGUAAAUAGUUAAU